ensembl:lncRNA
UCUGAGGCAUCAAGAAUAUGCAAGCUUGCCCCAAUAAACUCUGAGAGCAUCAGCAGAGAUGUGCAAGCUUGCCCUGUAUCAGACUCUUAGAGCAUCAGCAGAUAUGCAAGCUUGCCCUGUAUCAGACUCUUAGAGCAUCAGCAGAGAUAUGCAAGCUUGCCCUGUAUCAGACUCUUAGAGCAUCAGCAGAGAUAUGCAAGCUUGCCCUGUAUCAGACUCUUAGAGCAUCAGCAGAGAUAUGCAAGCUUGCCCUGUAUCAGACUCUUAGAGCAUCAGCAGAGAUAUGCAAGCUUGCCCUGUAUCAGACUCUUAGAGCAUCAGCAGAGAUAUGCAAGCUUGCCCUGUAUCAGACUCUUAGAGCAUCAGCAGAGAUAUGCAAGCUUGCCCUGUAUCAGACUCUUAGAGCAUCAGCAGAGAUAUGCAAGCUUGCCCUGUAUCAGACUCUUAGAGCAUCAGCAGAGAUAUGCAAGCUUGCCCUGUAUCAGACUCUUAGAGCAUCAGCAGAGAUAUGCAAGCUUGCCCUGUAUCAGACUCUUAGAGCAUCAGCAGAGAUAUGCAAGCUUGCCCUGUAUCAGACUCUUAGAGCAUCAGCAGAGAUAUGCAAGCUUGCCCUGUAUCAGACUCUUAGAGCAUCAGCAGAGAUAUGCAAGCUUGCCCUGUAUCAGACUCUUAGAGCAUCAGCAGAGAUAUGCAAGCUUGCCCUGUAUCAGACUCUUAGAGCAUCAGCAGAGAUAUGCAAGCUUGCCCUGUAUCAGACUCUUAGAGCAUCAGCAGAGAUAUGCAAGCUUGCCCUGUAUCAGACUCUUAGAGCAUCAGCAGAGAUAUGCAAGCUUGCCCUGUAUCAGACUCUUAGAGCAUCAGCAGAGAUAUGCAAGCUUGCCCUGUAUCAGACUCUUAGAGCAUCAGCAGAGAUAUGCAAGCUUGCCCUGUAUCAGACUCUUAGAGCAUCAGCAGAGAUAUGCAAGCUUGCCCUGUAUCAGACUCUUAGAGCAUCAGCAGAGAUAUGCAAGCUUGCCCUGUAUCAGACUCUUAGAGCAUCAGCAGAGAUAUGCAAGCUUGCCCUGUAUCAGACUCUUAGAGCAUCAGCAGAGAUAUGCAAGCUUGCCCUGUAUCAGACUCUUAGAGCAUCAGCAGAGAUAUGCAAGCUUGCCCUGUGUCAGACUCUUAGAGCAUCAGCAGAGAUAUGCAAGCUUGCCCUGUAUCAGACUCUUAGAGCAUCAGCAGAGAUAUGCAAGCUUGCCCUGUAUCAGACUCUUAGAGCAUCAGCAGAGAUAUGCAAGCUUGCCCUGUAUCAGACUCUUAGAGCAUCAGCAGAGAUAUGCAAGCUUGCCCUGUAUCAGACUCUUAGAGCAUCAGCAGAGAUAUGCAAGCUUGCCCUGUAUCAGACUCUUAGAGCAUCAGCAGAGAUAUGCAAGCUUGCCCUGUAUCAGACUCUUAGAGCAUCAGCAGAGAUAUGCAAGCUUGCCCUGUAUCAGACUCUGAGGCAUCAACGAGAUGGCCAAGCUUUUCCCUGUGUCAGACUUCUGAGAGCAUCCUUGAGAUGUGCAAGCGCCCCUGUAUCAGACUCUGGGAGGAUCCAGCAGAGAUAUGCAAACUUGCCCUGUAUCAGACUCU